rnacentral:ncRNA from 2 species
GUCUUAUCAAGAGUGAUGGAGGGACUGGCCCGAUGAAAUCCGACAACCAGCACAUAUAUGUGUAUGGUGUUAAUUCCAGCAGAUGUUUAAUCUGAGAGAUAAGAA